rnacentral:misc_RNA from 1 species
GUGAAUCAUCGAAUUUUUGAACGCAUAUUGCACUCUCUGGUAUUCCGGAGAGUAUGCCUGUUUGAGGGUAAUUGAAAAGAAUCUUGACCAAUUUUUUUUUGUCAAAGGAAAUGAGUUCUCCGCGAUUAUAGCGGUAGCUUGAAAUAAAUGUUCAAGACUCAUGUUAGUCGAGAAGCGUAAUAGUAUUAUUUCGCGAAAUCUUCGUUAUGUGUCUAUCAAGUUUUUACGCAUACAGAUUUGGUUUGUUUGCGAUCAAUACAAAGAUUUUGAACAUUACCUCA